rnacentral:rRNA from 1 species
AUUGAACGCUGGUGGCAUGCUUUACACAUGCAAGUCGAACGGCAGCGGGGUAGUGCUUGCACUACUGCCGGCGAGUGGCGAACGGGUGAGUAAUAUAUCGGAACGUACCGAGUAAUGGGGGAUAACCAAUCGAAAGAUUGGCUAAUACCGCAUACGUCCUGAGGGAGAAAGCGGGGGAUCGCAAGACCUCGCGUUAUUCGAGCGGCCGAUAACUGAUUAGCUAGUUGGUGGGGUAAAGGCCUACCAAGGCGACGAUCAGUAGCGGGUCUGAGAGGACGAUCCGCCACACUGGGACUGAGACACGGCCCAGACUCCUACGGGAGGCAGCAGUGGGGAAUUUUGGACAAUGGGGGCAACCCUGAUCCAGCCAUGCCGCGUGUAUGAAGAAGGCCUUCGGGUUGUAAAGUACUUUUGUUAGGGAAGAAAAGGGAAGUGCUAAUACCACUUUUUGCUGACGGUACCUAAAGAAUAAGCACCGGCUAACUACGU